GAAGUGGCCCCAGAGGCAGAGGAAGCGGGGAGGAGGCCACGAGCCAAGGAACCCCUGCGUCUCCUCUCGAGACGCUGGAAGAGGCAAGAACAGCGGCUCCCCUAGCGCCUGCAAAGGGAGCCCGCCCUGCCGACAUCUUGCUUCCAGCCCAGUGAUCCCGACUUGGGACCUCCGACCUGCAGAACUGAGAGAAUGCAUUUCUCCUGUUUGAAGCCAUCGAGUCUGGGAGGCCUUAUUACAGCAGCCACGGGAAGGUCCCACAGAGGCCGUGGGUUAUGUAGAGCCGGGAGGGACACAAGCCUCAUCGCUCGCUCUGCCGCUCGCAGGUCUCCGACGCCACGCGCAUGCGCCCUGGGCGCCUAACCUCAUUAAGGAAGCUGAGCUUUUACGGCUUUCGCUGAAGACAGUUCCCUGGGCGCCCUCAGGUCAGAGGAAACCGAAACUUCCCUCCGCAGAGGCACACGGAACUGCUGCCCCCGGCUCUGGAGCGGAGUCAGCGGUGGGUAAGAGACUGCAUCCCUGUCGGGACAAUUAACGGCUGCCAGUCGCAGCUGAAACCAUUCUGGGAGCACGUCCGUGCGGAUGACUCACGGGUUAGGAGAAAUCAGACAGCCAAGUGUGGAGCGAUGGGAAGGCUUCCAGAGAGGAUACGCUCCGCUUCUCAGGCCCGGGGUUCAGAAGCACCGUGACUUCGGGCAAGUUGCUAACCUACUUCGCAACAGUGUCGUGGGGCAGCUUUGCAAUUAAUUUGUAUAUGCCCUUUGGCCCACAGAAAAUCCUUUCAGCCUGUGAGAUUUGUAGCUCCCAGAGCUACUGAUUUGCAUACCCAGGAAACAAGCAUCUGCCUGCGGUCUAGAACAAGGACCCCGUAAAGCUGGGACUCAGUCUUUUGAGAAGGGUACUGCAGGACGAUAUUGGUAUAUCUGAGAGAAGAUGCUGGGCCUGGUUCAGGCUGUGUGAAAUCUGUAAACUGGAGCCAAUUGUCAUGAAUCAACCGUCCCCGCCAAAGCAAUGCUACUGCAGUGCUGCUGACAGGAGCACCAGAAAAACAAGGAGGAAGAGGUUGAAAGGAACUCAGCAGUCUCCUGAUCUUCAAACCAAUUAGCUCAAGAGAUGUUCUUCAGAAACCUGUGCUAAAAGGCUCCCAGAAAACUCAGACCUGCCACUGCCUAACCUGCUGGCUCUCAGCUGAAGUGAGCAAACAGAACUCAUGUACCCAUAGCCAGCAGCCAUGGAAGCUGAGAGAGUGACAAAUGGCCAUUGGGAAGACUUGAGUCUCCAGAAAAUCAGCAGAGAUGUUAUUCAACUGACAAGGCAAAAAAAGGAGAAAUGAAAACAGAAACAAAAUAAGCUCAGUUUUGGCCCCAGGGCUCUACCAGGUGCAGAGCCUUGAAAAGAAACAACAUCUUCAGCAAACUGUCACUGCCCUAUUGAUACCCUUCUGUGCGUCACUUACCGCGUGCAAACACCUGCAACUCUCUGCGUAAGGAUUUUCAUCUGGCAGUGGGAGCACCCUCAGCCUGUGGUGGAGGUCAACCAGAAGUCUGGAGAGUUAAUGUCUCUCAGAAUCCUCAACCAAUGACAAACAAGGAGUUGAAAGGAAUCUAUAAAAAAUACCAAGUGCAAAAUGAGAGAUAAAAUCAAAAGAAAGUUUCUGUUACCUGAUUUCACAAAAAUAUGAAGAUUGAUGAACAGGAUGGGGAUGUGGUACUAUUUCAAUUCAUCAGUGGCAUAUAUUUCGAGCUUCCCAUGUGGCACAUUACAAGAUUUUAUUUAUUUAUUUGAGCGAGAGAGAAUGAGAGACAGAGAGCACGAGAGGGAAGAGGGUCAGAGGGAGAAGCAGACCCCCUGCCGAGCAGGGAGCCCGAUGCGGGACUCGAUCCCGGGACUCCAGGAUCAUGACCUGAGCCGAAGGCAGUCGCUUAACCAACUGAGCCACCCAGGCGCCCCUUAUUUACUUGUUUUUGCAGAAUGAAAUAUGAGGCAGAAUCUAUAUGCAGCUGAAGAAUUAUGUAUUAUCACCACUGGAAUUUGAAUUCAGCUAAUGAGAACUAACAGCAAAGGAAGACGUCUAGCAAAGCUGCUUCGUCUUGGUCCUGUAUAUGGGCCAUAAAAUUAGGCUGCCUUGCUUCCCUUUGGGACCGCAGCACUGAUCUGCAAAUGUAUUUGAAGAUUCCAUUUGUGCAUCCAUAAAAAUAUUAAAACAUGCAUCUCUUUAAAACAUGCAUCCAAAACUAAUUAUGAAGUUGGAAGCUAUUAAUACCAAGCCAUCAUUAUAAAAUAAUACUUUAUAUUUGCAUAGUGUUAUGUACCUCUGUGCUUCAGAGCACAGUCACGGACCUAAUCUCACUUAAUCCUGGGAACUUGGUGAGGUAGAUUGCAUGAUUAGUCUUUCCACUAUGUAAUUAAGGCAGCUGAACAAGACAUGAUCGUUCUCAAUGCUGAAACUUUAUUGUCCACCAUUCAUCACAAUGAAAAAACUCUAACUUGAGAGAGAGAAACAGAAACAGACUCAGUUCUGUUACUUACUAGCUGUAUAACCCUGGACAACUGACCAAACUUCUCUGAGCCUCAGUUUCCCCAACUGCAAAAUAAAGGAAAUAAUACCUACUUCUUAAGAGUGGUGUGAUAGUUAAAUAAACUUAAAAGAAAUAACUGCACUCAAAAAUUAUAGCUAUUUAUUCAUCCACUCGUUCAGCAAAUACUUCACUGUUUUUAGCAGUUGACAGACAAAAAAAUACAAAUCUAGAAGAGGCAAGUAAUACAGCUAUCCUGUUAAGAUACAGUGCCAGCCUUCACGAAGCUCACAGACAUGAAGGAUGGUAGACAUUUAAAUAAACCAUUAGAAUGUAGUGUGAUAUUAAGGAAAGCAGGCCAGGGCCACCACAUAUAGCUGUGAAGGUUUUACACUGCACAAUCCAGGGGACAACCUUUAUGUCCCAGUGUAUGUGAGUGAUGACAACCCUAGAGGGGUGUAAUGCACCACCCAAGAAGCCAUACACAGCAAUCCUGCUGGUAACAGAAAAAGGUUAAUUAAGGCUUCAUAGAGGUCAUGUUGAAUCUAGGUCACUUCAGAAAAGAGAAGAAGUGCAUGAGAAUACAUGAAACGAAUAUGGAAUUGUAAGAGCACCACUGCCAUAGUAGAUAGAGUAUAUAUAAGACAGAAAAAUGAAAUUGAAAAGAUAAACGAGACCACAUGAUGAAUGGCCUUGCAAACCAUGCCAAAGAAUUUGCACUUGACUCUUAAAACAACGAAGUGCUUUAGUGUAAAUAUAUGAUUGUUGCUUUAACGUACCUUCAACACUUUCUAUCAGCUCCUUGUUUUCAUUUGGAGAUUUGCAUAGCCCUAAGGGUCGUACAAACAGAAUGAAACCCAGGAAUGUUAUUGAUGAUGCAGAAACAACUGUACACAAAGCUUUGUGGCCAAGAGGGAGAACAGCUCUAGAAUAAAGUCGACAUCCUGGCAGGCACUGGAGAGAGAGGAAGAAACCAGGCUCCUGAUGACUAUAUUGAACCUCUAAGUCUAACUUUGCCUGAAGUCCACCUACUUUGUGAUCUUCAAUUACG